GGGCCAAUGGCGCAAUGGAUAACGCGCCUGAUUACAGAUCGGGAGACUGUAGGUUCAAAUCCUACCUGGCUCG